AUGGCCACCGUGCUGGCCACAAUGGUGGCAUUCGUAGAUGCGAUCCCUCGAGCAAGACAACCGGAAGAUCGCGGCGGCCCUCAUGAGCCGGCACAUCACAUCGGAGGAGCCGUCAACUACGUCACCGUCGCAGAGGCCCUGCAGGUUAGCCCAUCGGCGCUGGCGGCAGGGCUGGCCGCCGACAACGUGAUCUGCGUGUUCUACUUCACCAUGUUCUUCGCGCUAGCCGCCAAGAUCCCGGCCGAAGAGGUUCUGCACUCCAAAGGAGAUAACGCCAACGGCGAGCCCGCUCCGGCUGCCGGUGCCAUCGGUGGCGAUGGGCUGCCGGUCCUGGAGAGUGCGACGGUGAUGGCCGUGUCGUUCGCGAUAUGCAAGGCGGGAAAACACGCAACAGCUCUGCUGAGCAUACAGGGCGGCAGCCUCCCCUACAUCACGGCGAUUGUGGUGGCGCUGGCGACGCUGUUCCCAUCACAUAUCGGCAGGCUCGCCCCCGCCGGCGAGGCCAUGGCCGUGGUCCCCAUAGGCAAGGUCAAAGACCACCACGCCAGAGCCGCAGGGAGGCUGUUGGGGAUCAAGAAGAAGCUACUGCUCAUCGCGUCCAACGCCAACGUCGGCGGCCUGACCACCGCCUGCGGGGUGGCCAUCGCCAAGGGCUGGGCCUCCUGGUGGUUCCUGGGAUCUUGGUAG
rnacentral:rRNA from 1 species